UGGUAAGUAGUUUAAACAAAACAAAUGAUUUCGACUCAUUAAAUUAUGAUAACCAUACUGACCAA
rnacentral:tRNA from 1 species